rnacentral:rRNA from 1 species
AGAGUUUGAUCCUGGCUCAGGACGAACGCUGGCGGCGCGCCUAACACAUGCAAGUCGAACGAGCGAGAGAGAGCUUGCUUUCUCGAGCGAGUGGCGAACGGGUGAGUAACGCGUGAGGAACCUGCCUCAAAGAGGGGGACAACAGUUGGAAACGACUGCUAAUACCGCAUAAGCCCACGGCUCGGCAUCGAGCAGAGGGAAAAGGAGCAAUCCGCUUUGAGAUGGCCUCGCGUCCGAUUAGCUAGUUGGUGAGGUAACGGCCCACCAAGGCGACGAUCGGUAGCCGGACUGAGAGGUUGAACGGCCACAUUGGGACUGAGACACGGCCCAGACUCCUACGGGAGGCAGCAGUGGGGAAUAUUGCACAAUGGGGGAAACCCUGAUGCAGCGACGCCGCGUGGAGGAAGAAGGUCUUCGGAUUGUAAACUCCUGUUGUUGAGGAAGAUAAUGACGGUACUCAACAAGGAAGUGACGGCUAACUACGUGCCAGCAGCCGCGGUAAAACGUAGGUCACAAGCGUUGUCCGGAAUUACUGGGUGUAAAGGGAGCGCAGGCGGGAAGACAAGUUGGAAGUGAAAUCCAUGGGCUCAACCCAUGAACUGCUUUCAAAACUGUUUUUCUUGAGUAGUGCAGAGGUAGGCGGAAUUCCCGGUGUAGCGGUGGAAUGCGUAGAUAUCGGGAGGAACACCAGUGGCGAAGGCGGCCUACUGGGCACCAACUGACGCUGAGGCUCGAAAGUGUGGGUAGCAAACAGGAUUAGAUACCCUGGUAGUCCACACCGUAAACGAUGAUUACUAGGUGUUGGAGGAUUGACCCCUUCAGUGCCGCAGUUAACACAAUAAGUAAUCCACCUGGGGAGUACGACCGCAAGGUUGAAACUCAAAGGAAUUGACGGGGGCCCGCACAAGCAGUGGAGUAUGUGGUUUAAUUCGACGCAACGCGAAGAACCUUACCAAGUCUUGACAUCCCUUGACGAUGCUGGAAACAGUAUUUCUCUUCGGAGCAAGGAGACAGGUGGUGCAUGGUUGUCGUCAGCUCGUGUCGUGAGAUGUUGGGUUAAGUC